rnacentral:rRNA from 1 species
UACGGGGGGGGCAAGCGUUGUUCGGAAUUACUGGGCGUAAAGGGUUCGUAGGUGGCCAACUAAGUCAGACGUGAAAUCCCUCAGCUUAACUGGGGAACUGCGUCUGAUACUGGUUGGCUUGAGUGCAGGAGAGGAACGCGGAAUUCCAGGUGUAGCGGUGAAAUGCGUAGAUAUUACAAGGAACACCAAUGGCGAAGGCAGCUUGCUGGGCCUUUUCUGACGCUGAGGUACGAAAGCGUGGGGAGCGAACAGG